rnacentral:rRNA from 1 species
UACAGAGACUGCAAGCGUUGCUCGGAAUUACUGGGCGUGAAGCGCACGUAGGCGGCUUUCUAAGUCGGGGGUGAAAUCCUGGAGCUCAAUUCCAGAACUGCCUUCGAUACUGGAGAGCUCGAGUCCGGGAGAGGUGAGUGGAACUGCGAGUGUAGAGGUGAAAUUCGUAGAUAUUCGCAAGAACACCAGUGGCGAAGGCGGCUCACUGGCCCGGUACUGACGCUGAGGUGCGAAAGCGUGGGGAGCAAACAGG